GCAGCAGUGAGGAAUAUUGGUCAAUGGACGCAAGUCUGAACCAGCCAUGCCGCGUGCAGGAUGACGGCUCUAUGAGUUGUAAACUGCUUUUGUACGAGGGUAAACGCUCUUACGUGUAGGAGCCUGAAAGUAUCGUACGAAUAAGGAUCGGCUAACUCCGUGCCAGCAGCCGCGGUAAUACGGAGGAUUCAAGCGUUAUCCGGAUUUAUUGGGUUUAAAGGGUGCGUAGGCGGUUUGAUAAGUUAGAGGUGAAAUUUCGGGGCUCAACCCUGAACGUGCCUCUAAUACUGUUGAGCUAGAGAGUAGUUGCGGUAGGCGGAAUGUAUGGUGUAGCGGUGAAAUGCUUAGAGAUCAUACAGAACACCGAUUGCGAAGGCAGCUUACCAAACUAUAUCUGACGUUGAGGCACGAAAGCGUGGGGAGCAAACAGGAUUAGAUACCCUGGUAGUCCACGCAGUAAACGAUGAUAACUCGUUGUCGGCGAUACACAGUCGGUGACUAAGCGAAAGCGAUAAGUUAUCCACCUGGGGAGUACGUUCGCAAGAAUGAAACUCAAAGGAAUUGACGGGGGCCCGCACAAGCGGAGGAACAUGUGGUUUAAUUCGAUGAUACGCGAGGAACCUUACCCGGGCUUGAAAGUUAGCGACGAUUCUUGAAAGAGGAUUUCCCUUCGGGGCGGGAAACUAGGUGCUGCAUGGUUGUCGUCAGCUCGUGCCGUGAGGUGUCGGGUUAAGUCCCAUAACGAGCGCAACCCCUACCGUUAGUUGCCAUCAGGUCAAGCUGGGCACUCUGGCGGGACUGCCGGUGUAAGCCGAGAGGAAGGUGGGGAUGACGUCAAAUCAGCACGGCCCUUACGUCCGGGGCUACACACGUGUUACAAUGGUAGGUACAGAGGGCAGCUACCCAGCGAUGGGAUGCGAAUCUCGAAAGCCUAUCUCAGUUCGGAU
rnacentral:rRNA from 1 species